AUCAGAAAUGUCUCGGCCAUCCGAGCGACAGUGGUAGAAUCUAAGGAGUCAGCAUUACACAAGACUUCACUGACGAGGGACAAAGGACCAUUGAGAGAGCCAUGGACAACCUGAUGCAGAUCCUGCUCACCUUGUUGCUAGGAUACGUACUGUGGGUUAUCGUUACAGCCCUGUGGAGAUACAACACUCUCUGUCGGACAGUUAAAGACUUCGCCCAAGUUGCCCCCGCUCAUUGGUUUUGGGGACAUAUGAAACUG